AGAAUCAACGCUGGCGGCGUGCCUAACACAUGCAAGUCGAACGAGAAAGUGGGAGCAAUCCCAUGAGUAAAGUGGCGCACGGGUGAGUAACACGUGACUAACCUACCCUUGAGUGGGGGAUAACCUAGGGAAACCUGGGCUAAUACCGCAUAAUACCUACGGGUCAAAGGAGCAAUUCGCUUUAGGAGGGGGUCGCGGCAGAUUAGUUAGUUGGCGGGGUAAUGGCCCACCAAGACAGUGAUCUGUA
rnacentral:rRNA from 1 species